CGGUCGUCAUGUAUUUGGUAAAGCUGCUGAUCAGCGAUGCUCUAAUAGCAAUGAUGCACACAAUGAUGCUUGCCGAGGGCGUUUGUUCUGUCUACCAGACCCAUAUGGAUGCUCCUGUGCUGCAGGUUACCAGGGAUUAGACUGUAUGCAAGAAUGUGAAGACGGUACGUUUGGUGCCAAUUGCAAGCAGACUUGUCACUGUGCAUCAGGAGGAACGUGCAGUAAAGAUACAGGAAAAUGUAGCAAUGGUUGUGCGGCAACAUAUUCUGGAAGUAACUGUCAGUGCUCAAGUAAGAUAGAAUUGGAAAAUAAUCAGUCAGUGUUAUCAUACGAUUGACAAACAGACAUCAGAACACUUUGGCCAAAAGUUAUAGUUUAUACAAAAAUCAGUUGAAACAAGGGGGUAUUUUUCACCCCAGCAGAUUGUACUUUUCAUUCAGAUUUUGUUAUUAGCGUCUUGUGAACGAUGUAGUUAAUUUAGGCUAUUCUAGGUGUUGUAUUUAACUUUAGAAGUCCAACCGGCAUGUUUGAAAUCACAUGCGUUCGGUGGCAUAGCAUAAGGGGAUUUUAUAAAGACACAAAGCUUUGUUGUCUGGAUUGAUACAUUUUCCAUUGCGACUCCAUAAUG